rnacentral:rRNA from 1 species
GCCAGACUCCUACGGGAGGCAGCAGUGAGGAAUAUUGGUCAAUGGCCGGAAGGCUGAACCAGCCAAGCCGCGUGAAGGACGAAGGUGCCAAGCAUUGUAAACUUCUUUUGUCAAGGGACAAAAUCAGGCUCGAGGGCCUGACCGAGGGUACUUGAAGAAAAAGCAUCGGCUAACUCCGUGCCAGCAGCCGCGGUAAUACGGAGGAUUCAAGCGUUAUCCGGAUUUAUUGGGUUUAAAGGGUGCGUAGGCGGUCGGAUAAGUUAGAGGUGAAAUCCCGAGGCUCAACUUCGGAAUUGCCUCUGAUACUGUUCGGCUAGAGAGUAGUUGCGGUAGGCGGAAUGUAUGGUGUAGCGGUGAAAUGCUUAGAGAUCAUACAGAACACCGAUUGCGAAGGCAGCUUACCAAGCUACUUCUGACGUUGAGGCACGAAAGCGUGGGGAGCAAACAGGAUUAGAUACCCGAGUA